rnacentral:rRNA from 1 species
CAGCCGUAAACUAUGCGCGUUAGGUGUACUGGUGACCACGAGUCACCGGGGUGCCGAAGGGAAACCGUGAACGUGCCGCCUGGGAAGUACGGUCGCAAGGCUGAAACUUAAAGGAAUUGGCGGGGGAGCACCACAACCGGGUGGAGCCUGCGGUUUAAUUGGACUCAACGCCGGAAAUCUCACCGGAUAGGACAGACAUAUGAUAGUCGGGCUGAAGACUCUACUUGAUGAUCUGAGAGGAGGUGGCAUGGCGUCAGUGACU